GACGAACGCUGGCGGCGUGCUUAACACAUGCAAGUCGAACGAUGAACCCGGAGCUUGCUCCGGUGGAUUAGUGGCGAACGGGUGAGUAACACGUGAGUAACCUGCCCUUGACUCUGGGAUAACUGCGGGAAACUGUAGCUAAUACCGGAUACGACCCUCGGCGGCAUCGCCAGGGGGUGGAAAGAAUUUCGGUCAAGGAUGGACUCGCGGCCUAUCAGCUAGUUGGUGAGGUAACGGCGCACCAAGGCGACGACGGGUAGCCGGCCUGAGAGGGUGACCGGCCACACUGGGACUGAGACACGGCCCAGACUCCUACGGGAGGCAGCAGUAGGGAAUAUUGCACAAUGGGCGCACGCCUGAUACAGCAACGCCGCGUGAGGGAUGACGGCCUUCGGGUUGUAAACCUCUUUUAGUAGGGAAGAAGCGAAAGUGACGGUACCUGCAGAAAAAGCACCGGCUAACUACGUGCCAGCAGCCGCCGUAA
rnacentral:rRNA from 1 species